rnacentral:rRNA from 1 species
CGUAACAAGGUUUCCGUAGGUGAACCUGCGGAAGGAUCAUUGUUGAAAUUUUGGGCAGCAGAACCACCCGCGAACACGUUGUCACGCAUCUCUCUCGGCUCUGGGGGCGGAGGAGCGGGCGCGAGCCCGCCUCUUCGACCCUCGGCCGCGUUCGGGAGGCCCCGGGAGCCCCCGCCCCCCUCUUGCCCCGCGCACGGGNGAGGGGCGCCUCGCGGCGGCCCCCCCGAGCAUAUAACGAACCCCGGCGCGGAACGCGCCAAGGAACAACAGAACGAACCAACGCCCUCCCGUCGCCCCGGUCACGGGCGCGUCGGGGAGGCGCGUCGUCGUUACAGUCGCACAAACGACUCUCGGCAACGGAUAUCUAGGCUCUCGCAUCGAUGAAGAACGUAGCAAAAUGCGAUACUUGGUGUGAAUUGCAGAAUCCCGUGAAUCAUCGAGUCUUUGAACGCAAGUUGCGCCCGAAGCCAUUACGCCGAGGGUACGCCUGCCUGGGUGUCUCGCACCCGUCGCCCCCCUUCCCGCCUCCCCCCCGGGCGGAUGCGGAGGGAGGGCGGACACUGGCCUCCCGUGGGCGCCCUCGCCCGCGGUUGGCCCAAAAUCGGUCCCGCGGCGGCGUACGCCACGACGAGCGGUGGUUUCGUGCAUCGGAGCAGCUAAGCGUCGCGCGCGGCACGUCGCCUCAGGGGCCGCCCCCGAACGGCCCGAGACCCUCGAUCGCGACCCCAGGUCAGGCGGGAACACCCGCUGAGUUUAAGCAUAUCAAUAA